rnacentral:rRNA from 1 species
AUUGAACGCUGGCGGCAGGCCUAACACAUGCAAGUCGAAUGGUAACAGGAAACAGCUUGCUGUUUCGCUGACGAGUGGCGGACGGGUGAGUAAUGUCUGGGAAACUGCCUGAUGGUGGGGGAUAACUACUGGAAACGGUAGCUAAUACCGCAUAACGUCGCAAGACCAAAGAGGGGGACCUUCGGGCCUCUUGCCAUCAGAUGUGCCCAGAUGGGAUUAGCUAGUAGGUGGGGUAACGGCUCACCUAGGCGACGAUCCCUAGCUGGUCUGAGAGGAUGACCAGCCACACUGGAACUGAGACACGGUCCAGACUCCUACGGGAGGCAGCAGUGGGGAAUAUUGCACAAUGGGCGCAAGCCUGAUGCAGCCAUGCCGCGUGUAUGAAGAAGGCCUUCGUGUUGUAAAGUACUUUCAGCGGGGAGGAAGGGAGUAAAGUUAAUACCUUUGCUCAUUGACGUUACCCGCAGAAGAAGCACCGGCUAACUCCGUG